rnacentral:lncRNA from 1 species
GUACAAUCACAUAUUAUCAAUCAUAAAUUAACAACUUUUUAGAUCAUAUAUUAUUUUUUUUUAUCACAAUUUAUCUUUUUUAUUGAUCAUGUAUCGUUUAUUGGUCAAGUCAAUCAAAUAAUUUGCGACCGCCAUCUCCAGCACCACAAUUACCAUCUUCUCAGCUACCACAUCCACGAAGGUAUCAACACACCAUCUCACCACCACUGAAAAUCGCCACAAAAACUGCCAUCAACACAUCACUAUUGCUACUUUUCAUCGCCGUUGCCACAAUUUCUCUUUGUCUUUUACCAAAAAUUCCAUCAUUUUCACCACCCGUCGUUGUCAACACUACCACCAGUGUAGACACCAACAGUAAAACAAUCACUACAAAAAUAAAAUCCUUAUAAAGCAUUUACCAUAUGUGGAAAAAAAAUUAAAAGAAAUCAAGACCAAGAUAUAUGAUAAUGGCAGUGGAUCCAGAUCCACUUCUCGAUAGUGUGAAAACAGAGAUAAUAGUUUGUGGACAAUGAUUGUUGGUGAUUUAGAGAUGUUGGUGGACGAUUAUGGUUAGUGAUAGCGGGAUGGUAAGUCGGUGGAGAUCUAAGCACCGGCGAUAGAGGUAAGUCGUCGAAGAGCUACACAAUUCCGAUGGAGGUCAGUCGCUGGAAUGAAGAGAGAAGGAAGAGAUAGAGAACAGGAAUGGGAAACUGAUUAGGGUUAAUGGUGGAGGUUGG